UUCAUGACUGGGGUGAAGUCGUAACAAGGUAACCGUAGGGGAACCUGCGGUUGGAUCACCUCCUUACCUUAAAGAAGC
rnacentral:rRNA from 4 species